GCAGGCAGAACGUGGCUGCCCGUCAUUAAUUCAAUGGCGGGAGGAAAGUCCGAGCUCCACAGGGUAACGUAAUGGGUAACGCCCAUCUGCCGGCGAUAAGCCGGUAAGGAUUAGAGCUACAGAGACGAGUAAUCCCGCACCUUAAAAGGUGCGGGAUGAGAUGAAACGGGCAAUCUCUACGUGGAGUAAGGCCAAAUAAGAGACUAGGGGUAACCCUCCCCGUUGGAAGUCUCGGGUAGGCUGCUUGACUCUGGCAGUAAUGCCGGGGCUUAGAGGAAUGGCCACUUAAGAGGCGGAUAAUCGCCUCGACACAGAACUCGGCUUAUUCUGCCUGCUUAA
rnacentral:RNase_P_RNA from 1 species